GUCUCAAUGUGUAGUUUCACUAUGGCUCAUCAAAAAAUAUUCGGUUUGCACAUUAUACAUAUAUUUCCUGGCAGAGCUGAAUAGAUUCACCCAAUUAAGUCAACCUAAAGGAAUGCUCAAGAAAUCUACUUCCUUUUAUGGUACCAAACAUUUUCUUUCUUCCAUCCUGAGCAUCCCAUGGAUUUACCUCCAAAAACAAACCUUGCAUUCUUCCCCUCCAAAUGUUUCGAUUCUUGAAGCUCUAUGCUCCGAUGGUGACUUAACAGAAGCCUUGAUUGAGAUGGGCAAACAAGGAGUGAAGAUGGGUUUCAGGGACUAUAACAGUCUGCUAAACGAAUGUAUAAAACAGAGGGCAAUAAGGGAAGGGCAAAGGCUGCAUGCCCACAUGAUCAAGACGCUUUACCGCCCUGCUGUCUUUCUCAGGACUAGGCUGAUUGUUUUCUAUGUAAAAUGUGAGCUUUUGGGGGAUGCUAGAUGGGUGUUUGAUGAAAUGCCUGAGAGGAAUGUGGUGGCUUGGACCGCGUUGAUUUCUGCCUAUGCUCAGAGAGGGAAUUUCUUUGAAGCUCUUGAUCUUUUCGUUCAGAUGUUGAGAUCAGGAAUGGAGCCAAACGAGUUCACUUUUGCCACGGUGCUCACAUCUUGUAUGGGUACGUUUGGUCUCCAAUUCGGAAGGCAAAUCCACAGUCUCUUGAUCAAGACUCCCUUUGCAUCUCAUAUGUAUGUUGGAAGCUCACUUCUUGAUAUGUAUGCCAAAGCUGGUAGGAUACACGAAGCUCGCCUUGUCUUUGCAGGUCUGCCAGAAAGGGAUGUUGUUUCCUGCACUGCCAUGAUUUCGGGCUGUUCUCAAUGGGGGCUUUACGAGGAUGCUAUCGAGAUAUUCUGUAAGUUGCAGGGAGAAGGAAUGCCAUCUAACUAUGUCACUUAUACAAGCCUUUUGAAUGCAGUAUCUGGACUUGCUGCAAUUGAGCAUGGCAGACAAGUUCAUGGCCAUGUUAUCAGAUCAGAACUACCUUUUUAUGUGAUCCUUCAGAAUUCUCUUAUUGACAUGUACUCCAAGUGUGGAAACCUCAGUUAUGCUAGAAGGAUAUUUGACAGCAUGUCUGAAAGAACUGUUAGCACGUGGAACGCCAUGCUUGUUGGUUACAGCAAACACGGGAUGGGAAGAGAGGCGGUUGAUCUGUUCAGAAAGAUGAGAGAAGAAGAUGAAACUAGCCCGGACAGCAUCACGUUUUUGGCUGUGUUAUCGGGCUGCAGCCAUGGAGGAAUGGAGGAGACAGGCCUGGACAUCUUCAAUGAGUUGGUUGCAGGAGAGAACAAGGUUGAUCUUGGGAUGGAGCACUAUGGUUGUGUUGUUGAUUUGCUUGGCAGAUCGGGCCAAGUAGAGAGGGCUUAUCAGUUUAUUCUACAGAUGCCUUUUGAACCGAGCACCUCCAUUUUGGGCUCGCUUUUAGGUGCCUGCAGUUUUCACCUGAAUGUCGACAUUGGUGAACUCGUAGGCAAUCGCCUCCUAGAAAUCGAGCCAGGAUGCCCGGGGAAUUAUGUCAUCCUUUCUAACAUAUAUGCAUCUGCAGGAAGGUGGGGAGAUGCAAGAAGAGUAAGAAAGUUGAUGGAAGAGAAGUCAGUCGUGAAGGAGCCAGGAAUGAGCUGUGUUUAACUGAACUAAACCCUGCAUAGCCUUUUAUCCUAGUAAAAUGUCAACUAGGAUAAGCAGAAGAGGAGGGAGAAAAUGCUGCUUUAGCCUGUGGGACAUUGGGAGAGUUGAUUGGGGUCUGAUUGUGAUUCAACUGAAUUAGACUCAUUCUGCAGAACACAGAUAUUACAGUACGUUUAGUUCAUGGAACAAGGCAGAAAUGAAAUAACCUUCUCGAGACUAAGCUGUGAUUGCUUUUGCACCAAUAAAAAAGAUUUCAGGUACUGCAAUGGUGCUGGAUGACUGGAUGAGAUCAUUAACCAUGUCCAAUACCUACAGCGUCAAGUGGAGUUCUUAUCAAUGAGACUCACAGCUGUUAACCCAAGAAUCGAUUUUAACGUUGAUGCUCUCUUUGCUGCUGAAACUGGUUCCCCAUUAGAAAGCAACUUUCCGGGCAUGAUCAUGCCAUCGAUGUGACCUGAGGGACAAGCCAACUAACGGAAACAGGCAACCUUAUCAACAGCUAUGGCAUUUUGAUGGACUUCAUCGACCUGUGUGGAGUAGGGAAGACGGGAACUCAGUAUUAACUUACUACUCAACAAAUCCAGGUGCAUACCAAAUCUAUUAUCCCAUUAUCAUCUCCAUAUCUUAGAUGGCAAAGUAUUCCAGACAAAUCUCACUAGUAAUUCUGUAUCCUCUACUGGCACGGCUUCUUUGCAUGCAAAUAAGCAAAAGAUGGAGCUAUGAAGGUAAAACGCGAAGCUUUUGGCUGUAGUUAGGCAUGUAUAUAUGACGUGGUAGUAGAUUGCAGGGAAGUAGAGAGGCGGUCACAACAACUGGAAUUCGGGUUUCCAUGAUCUCUAAAUUGCAGCGAGCUGGAAAUCCUGGUAUUAUCUUGCCAGAAGGGAUGACUGCUUGCUAGUCUUAGUUACAUAUAUACCCAUAUACACACACACACUGGUGUUUUGUGUCUUUGUGAAUACUAACAACUUGAGAGUCAUUCAAUCUUAUUGGGUGCAUGAAAUGAUUGGAGUGAUCUUGGGAAUUAGACCAGAAUCACUGCAGAUUACGAGUGAUUAGUUAUGAUUAUGGGAGUCUGUUUUCUGUUUAUUUACUA